UACGUAGGGGGCGAGCGUUGUCCGGAAUCAUUGGGCGUAAAGCGCGUGUAGGCGGCCCGGUAAGUCCGCUGUGAAAGUCCAGGGCUCAACCCUGGGAUGCCGGUGGAUACUGUCGGGCUCGAGUCCGGAAGAGGCGAGUGGAAUUCCUGGUGUAGCGGUGAAAUUCGUAGAUAUUGGGAAGAACACCGGUGGCGAAGGCGGCUCUCUGGACCGAGACUGACGCUGAGGCGCGAAAGCGUGGGGAGCAAACAGG
rnacentral:rRNA from 1 species